GAUGAACGCUGGCGGCGUGCUUAACACAUGCAAGUCGAACGGAAAGGCCCAAGCUUGCUUGGGUACUCGAGUGGCGAACGGGUGAGUAACACGUGGGUGAUCUGCCCUGCACUUCGGGAUAAGCCUGGGAAACUGGGUCUAAUACCGGAUAGGACGAUGGUUUGGAUGCCAUUGUGGAAAGUUUUUUCGGUGUGGGAGGAGCUCGCGGCCUAUCAGCUUGUUUGUGGGGGAAUGGCCUACCAAGGCGUCGACGGGUAGCCGGCCUGAGAGGGUGUACGGCCACAUUGGGACUGAGAUACGGCCCAGACUCCUACGGGAGGCAGCAGUGGGGAAUAUUGCACAAUGGGCGCAAGCCUGAUGCAGCGACGCCGCGUGGGGGAUGACGGCCUUCGGGUUGUAAACUCCUUUCGCUAGGGACGAAGCGUUUUUGUGACGGUACCUGGAGAAGAAGCACCGGCUAACUACGUG
rnacentral:rRNA from 1 species